AGGUGAUUCAAGCUCUAAAAGAUAUUUUCAAGAAAAAAACUCCCUAAACAGUCUGGGAGAAACAAAGAACAGCACUACCUGAACCAAGUUUUAUACGCUGUCUAUAAGAAUCCUGACUGCACUGCCUGUCAUACAGAUAGCCACAAGAGACUACAGCUGCCGAUAUGUAUAUAUAACACAACCAUUAAUAUAUGGUGCAGCAAGUAACAACUGUGAAAAAAACGGAAAUUUUUUAUGCUCAUAUCCCAUAUAAGGAUUUUGCCUUUUAUAAUUUUCAUGGCCAUCUUCUGGAUUACUGGGAUAAAUUAACCAAGAACAAGAUCUUGAGAGAUGUUACUUAUGCCGCGUACACACGAUCAUUUUUCAGCAUGAAA